ACGGGUGAGUAAUGCCUAGGAAUCUGCCUGGUAGUGGGGGACGAACGUUUCGAAAGGAACGCUAAUACCGCAUACGUCCUACGGGAGAAAGCAGGGACCUUCGGGCCUUGCGCUAUCAGAUGAGCCUAGGUCGGAUUAGCUAGUUGGUGAGGUAAUGGCUCACCAAGGCGACGAUCCGUAACUGGUCUGAGAGGAUGAUCAGUCACACUGGAACUGAGACACGGUCCAGACUCCUACGGGAGGCAGCAGAU
rnacentral:rRNA from 1 species